rnacentral:tRNA from 1 species
GUACCCUUAGCUCAGCGGAUAAGAGCAUCGAUCUUCUAAGUCGAGAGCCAUAGGUUCGAAUCCUAUAGGGUGUG